GACGGGGGGUCCUAGCGUUGUUCGGAAUUAUUGGGCGUAAAGCGUGUGCAGGUUGUCUGAAAAGUUAGAUGUGAAAUCCUUGGGCUCAACCCAAGACGUGCAUUUAAAACUGUCAGACUUGAGUAUGAAAGAGGAUCGUGGAAUUCCUAGUGUAGUGGUGAAAUGCGUAGAGAUCCGGAGGAACACCAAAGGCGAAGGCAGUGUCCUGGGGAGUACCUGACGCUCAGGUGCGAAAGCCAGGGGAGCGAACGGG
rnacentral:rRNA from 1 species